UCCCCAAGCAAUGUCUCAUUCAACAAUCUUUAUCAGAGGGCACUGACAUUUUGAUGGCCAAUUACACUUGGGGUCUGAGUUAGAUCAAACUGGAAGGAGUUAAGACAUUCUCACAGGGCGAAGGGCCCAAAGCUAUUAAGUAGGGAUAGGGUUGUAGGUGCCUCAUUGCAAAUCUCGCCCUGCUUUUCAGAGCCCAUAGUGGGUGCAAUUGUUUCUUUAUGAAUAUCUUGAUUGGCUCUUUGAUAGCUUUUUCUUGGCCAAGGGGAAAACACAACAAGGUUUAUUCUUCUCAAUCAAUUGCGCCUUCUGCUUUUCUGGUUUUUUCUGUCGACUGAAAAAACAGACAACCUGAGAGUUAAGAGUUAAGUUUUAUUUGGGGUGAAAUUAGGACUUAAGCCCAGGAAACAGCAUCUCAGGUAGCCCCAAGAAACUGCUCUGAGACAGUGAGUGAGGAGCUAGGAUGUGUAGGAGUUUUUGCCACAAAGGGCAGGGGAGCAGGAACGAAAGAGGCCUGGGCUCACUGAAACCUUUCCUUUGAUAUGCACGUCAGCUAUCUGGGCCAGUAUCCUGAGUUUUCAUAGCCUGCGGGACUCCCUGGCUCUCACCCUUGGAGGUGACUGCAUUUACAGCUGACUAUGACAUUCUUUAUCCUUAAUUACACCAGGUUGAAAUACCACCCAAGGAGGAAAAGAGGGAAUAUCAGGAUAUGAUAAAGGUGAGGGAGAGGUACAUGCAGCAUACACACAUUUUACAAAAAUUUGUUGGUGAUCUCAUGAAACACAUAUAAAUGAACCUAAUCUGUUAUGAAAUUGGUGACACAACCACACAAGGUAAAUAUUCAAGUAACUUUAAACAAGCCUUUGUAGAAAGCAUUCAAAGGGCAGAAUGGCAAUAAAAUCUUAAACUUUACUUAGCAGGUUUGUUGUAGGUAUUGCUGUUGGAAUUCAAAACUAUUUUACGUAUGUUAAAUACAAGUCACAAGGAACAGACAUCACCAUGAAGGAUUUUAGUGUUUUUCUAGAUAUGAGGAGAUGCAAGAAUUGAGCACAUAAAAUCUUCCCCUAAAAUUGUCUAUGUGAAGGCUUGUUCUUGCAGUUUUCCCAGUGCACAGAGUGCCUCACUCCUGGUCUCCACCUGAGCUCCACUCAGGGGGUGCUGCAGGUUGGUAGCUAUAGCGGCUCAUGUUUUACUCCAUGUAUAGGCUGAUGGAAAGUGCCAAACUUCAGUUCACAUGUCCAUAUCUAAUGAAAUUAAUCUAUUUAUUGGUUUCCCUUGCAUAAAAUUAAAAUGGCUAGCUGGCAUAUAAUAUCUUUAAAUUAUUCUUUGACAUUUCCUAAAUUUAUUUUAAAUUCAUGAAACCUAUUAUAUCCGAAAACCAGUCGAACCAGAGAAAAUAGGUCCUUUUUACAAAUUUUUAAUUAAAGAUGCUACAGGAACAAUAAUCACCAUCUUUCUUAUAAGGAUCUUUUUUGAGAGUUAAUGAUUAGCUGGGUUAAUAACCUUAAAAUUUUAGGGCCAUCAGUUUUCCCACGUACUCAUUAAUCCUUCCAAAAUGCCCAAGAUGGAAAUAAUUAGCAUUUAAAUAAAAGCAGAAAUAGUGAGACCCAAUAGGAUAUUGGCGAGAUGUCAGAGACAGUAUUUAGAGUGAAAAUUAUGAGAAAAUACUGAAUGUAUGUGAUGAAUUGGUUGGCCUAUAAAAAGAACUGAAAGCAAGUAAUUACUAGAGUAAAAGGAAGAGGGGAACAGAAAAUAGCAGAGGUUGUCCAAAGGAAUAAUGACUGGGUAGUUCAGUAUCAUUCAGAGUGGGUAAAAAAAAAAAAAGCUCACUUGAAAUGAUAAUGGGAAAUAGUAGUUUAAAUAUAAUCCUGGUGGAAAUUUCACCCAGGUUUGAAUAUUCUGUACAACUUUUAAAUACUAUAUGUAAUUGAAAAUUGGCCUUAGAAAAAGGCAGUGUUAACCCCUAAAUGGGCCAAUAGAUUAGGGAGUAAAUAAAGGAUAAGAUUGUGAAGAAUGAUGCUACCAUGGAGCUUGAUUGUUGUUAGAGCCUCAUUUUUAUUUGCCUGAUGGGAAAUUAAUACAAAAAUUUUUCUUGUGUAGUGGACCAGAAAGAAAAUAGAUACAUAUACUAUUGAAAACUCAGAGAAAUGAAGGAAAAUUCAUAAUAAACUUGCAUUCCCUAAAUCUAACCCAUUAUUUCAUGUGGAAAUGAAAAUAUAAGCAUGCUGCUGCUUCCCAGGAAGGCACACCUCAUAAUGUAGACUAAAAUUGCAUUUACAGUGGAUCAACGUUUUGUGAAAUUUGAAAACAAAUUCUUUAGCUGGUUUAACUGAGACUGGUCCUGUCAUUAAGAAUAUGGAAAUAAUUUGGCAAAGUCUGUAGAAAUUCUUAUUUUUUUUUUUUAAAUGAAAACUAUUGGAGAGCCGGUGAGACAGCUAUUUGAUUUGGAGUUUAAGAAAAUUGGGUCUAGAAUAUAAAGAAAGCCAGAAGGGCAAUUAAUAUGUAUAGACUGAAUAUGGUUACACAAUUGCUCUGAGUCACUCUUAGCACUUAAACGAUUACCAACAGAGGACGAUGCAUUUGAAAUUCACUCCAUGUUACUCUGGAAAAAUGUUUUGAGGCAGACCAUAAAUCUUGCGCGUGUUUAACGUAAGCAUGGGUUCUUUUGUUUUUUAUUUUUUGGCAUCACCUUAGUCAUUCUUAAGUUCCCAAAUCAUAGAGUCAGGGUUGGAAGGACAUCUAGAAAUGUCAAAUAAAUUACUUCUCUGCAUCAAUUUACGUACCUUUUGUGUAAACAUUUCCAGGAACAAAACAUUUUACAACUCCCUCAAGAAGACUGUUAAGUCAUUCCAGUGUUUAUAGGCUCUCACAUUUAGGGGUUCUGCUCUAUAUGAGCUGUAUAUUUACCCUCUUUCUUCUGUUUCCUGCCUUCUCUCCCACUUCAUCCAGCAUCUUAUUUUUUGGAUAGUGUUUUUCUUUAUUCAAGUAAAUUUGUUCUUCUACAUUCUGCAACUCUAUUGCAUGUUUUAUCGAGUGUCCCAGUGCCAUAUUUGUUUUUCGUGUAUUUCUUUUCAGCAUCCCUAGAUCUUUUAUAUGUUCUCAUAAAUCCUCAGUAAGUUUACUUUAUUUUGGAUUGAGAGCAAAUCAACCAAAAUAUUAUAAAAUAAGCUGGGAGGAAAAUGAGGGAUUUGAAAAUGUGACUAUCUAGCAGGGUAUUUUCACCAACUGCAGAAUUUAAAGACAUUCUUGCAGGCUUAGAAGAACCUCAGUGGGGAUGACUGCCAACCUCUCUCUUAGGUUUACUUACCCAGCAAAAUUGUUGGGGAUGUUUGCUGGCCAACACUAUUAGCAUACAUAAAGCUCUCUGUUGGAAAGUUUACAGAAUCAAUUAGAGUUCAGAAUUUUUUUUUUUUUUUUCAAGUGUGGUUGAGGGACUCAUUUAAUGAAUUGCAAUUCAGGAUGUUUCUAUUCUUGCAGGGUAUGCCUGUAAAAUAUUAGCAGGUGGCACAUUAAGGCCAUUGGAGAUUGUGCUCUUAAAGAGGCAUUUAUUUAGGGGUAUAUAUUCCAUCUAGUAGAUUACCACAUCAGUUUAGAAAUUGUACUGUGUCCCAAAUCCUAACUUUUAUAAGCUUUACAACAUUUUCUCAGGAAUGUUCUUCACUUUUUAAUAUAGAAUCGUUAUGUAAAUUGAUAGACAAUCAAUCCAAUAGUUCUUUUGUGAGCUAAAUUCUUCAUUCAUUUAUAUGGAUAAUGCUACAAGAGCCCUGUUGAGUUUUCACCAUCAAGGCAGUCCCUUGAUUUGCUCAGCAUAAGUGGAUAUUUUUGUGUUGAGGAGCACAGUUAUUCCAAAAGUCUCUGUUCCUGAUAAAUAUAAAAUUAUAUUAUAAAAAAUCCUACGUAUUCAUCAAUUUGGGAUAAUUUAAAACAUUUUAAAAAGCAGUAUUUUAAUGUACAAAUUGUUAUUAACAGAACUUCGGUAGCCUAUUUAUUUUGAAAGAGAUUUACUAUAUACAGGAUGUAUUCAGUAAAGUAUUAAUGUCUAUCAGACAAGAAUUUUAUUGUAGAAGUAAUGCAGAGGGACAGAUGACAACUUUGAAUGACUCAGGAAUAGGGGUGUUGGAAAUUUGGCAAGAGAGCUUAAACACACUGGACAAGGGUUUGGGAAACAGGUGAAUGAAUCAAGAGGCUAAUUAAGAAUUCUUUAUAGCUGAAGAAAUAAAUAUAUUGUUAAAUUAGAGCUUGACAGUAAGUUGCCAUGGCAGAUAACUGAAUAAAGGCCAUUCCCUUUCUUCUGAAAGUGUGCAGAAGUGUUUGUGUGUAUGUUAUGUGUGUGUGUUCUGUUCUAUGGAAUCAUGAAUUAGCAAAUUGAGGUAUGGACAGUGAGUGCCCUGUUUACAGCUAAGUUAAACGAGAAUUGUCUUUUCCUUACUGUCAAUUCAUAGAAUCUUUUCUGGAGCCUAAAGCUGCAGCCUGUUAUUAUUUCUGUCCUUUGUCCUUAAAAGCCUGUUUUCCAGGUAAGAAGUCAACCAACUUUUUCUGUAAAAGAUCAGAUAAUAAGUAUGUUUUGUUUUCUAGGCCACAUGGUCUCCAUUGCAAUCACUCAAAUUUGUUGCUAUAGCUUGAAAAGAGGCAUAGACAAUACAGAGGCAAAUGGAAAUGAAUGUGUUCCAAUAAAACUUUGCUUUCAAAAUCAGGUGGCAGGUGGGGUCUUGACCAUGACUUCUACUUCACUUUGUUCCAGAUUUCUGAUUACGACUCAUUAGGCAGCUUUGUCUUUCCUAGAGGUCCUUAGAUGAUUUCAAAUUCUGCUUUAAGAAUGUUUGAAAAGGCAUUUUUCUGUCCUUUUCAAUCAAGCCCAGAGGAGCCAUAUUGCAGUAAGCGUCCUUUCAAUGCCAACAGUGUCUAUCACCUGGAGAGAAUGAGUAAGGGACUACUUCUCUUCCGGAAGUGCUAGAAUGACUCCCAGAGAAGGCUUGCAAGUUGUGGGAGAAAAGCAAUGGCAGAAGGCUCGGCAAGCUUUCAGUCUAGCAACUCUCUGUGAUUGCAGGCCUGGGUUUCCUGCAUGCCGAAGGAGGAUAUUGGGACUAGACAUUCUACAACUUCUCUACCAACUCUAAGAUUUUAGAAUGCUAAAUUAAGGUUCUUGGCAAAGCUGAUUCUGUAGGCAGUCUCAGAUCUUCUCUUCACUUUUGAGCCAUUUCCUCAGACAGAGCAAACAGCAGACACUGGUAACUUUUGAAAGGGAACAUAUUUCUUGUUUCUACCUUAGGAACUGAUGAGAAUGAUCACAUUUGGGGAGUUUGGAACUUGCCAUACAUUCACUGCUUAUCUGCACAUGACUCACAUUGCCCUUGAAGAUUCGCAUGGACAGAAUUAGGAGUGCUAUUCUUUCAAAAUUUGUGGCUAAAAUACACAUCUUUAAAAAAGAAAAACUGGCUUACAUUUUUGAUGUGAUAUCUCUCCUUUCUAAGAACCACCUUUCUUUUCACAUUUUUAUGUGUAAGAUCAAAAUGUGUCAUGCAAUUGCUGUCAUUUAGGCAGCAAUUGCAAUGUAUUUGUUACUACUCAUAUAUAGGCAUAAAAUUUUGUGUGAAUAUGUAGAUAUCUAUAUAUCUAUAUAUUACUACUGAUAGUAAUGUAUAACUUGGAAGAGAAUCCUGAAGACAAUAAUGAGGCCCAGUUAAAAAUUGCUGUUUCCCCAAGGAUCUUGAUGGCACAAAGGAAUAUUUUAUAUGGAAAAUAAUGACCUUAAUGACUCUGAAUUGAUCAGUAACUUGGAAUAUUAAUGUGAAGAAAUUUUAGAUGUAAUUUAUUAUGUUUAUAUUUAUUUUUACAUAAACACCUGUGAUUUUUUUCAAAAGUUAUAUCUGUUUAAAUGAACUAUCUUUGUAAUAUGAUACUAAUUACAAGUGAAUAAUAUCAUAAUUCAACUACACCUCAAAAAAUAAUAAAAAUUAAAAAAUGCAAGUGACAAAAGGAAUGACAAAUUUAAUUGUUAGAAGUAUUUUUUUCUAUAAGCGGUACAUAAAAUAAUGGUGUGUUCUUAAAAUUCAUAGCAUCUAAGAUUUAUAAAUAUGGUAUUAUUAAGUAUGAUGGGAUAUGUUUGAUAAGUUAAAAUAUUAUGAAUAAAAAAGAAUUGGGGGUAAAUGAUAGAAAAAGAGAUUGCAUUUUUCCUUACCACCUUGAGAGAGGUAAAGGAUGAAAAAAAAUAGAGAUUUUGAUGUACAGUUGUGAGUCAGAGAUGAAAGAGCUAAGAUUACCAGGGGAUUGAAACAAAAACCCUUGAAGAACAUUGAUCUUGCCUGUCUUUUACUUCUGUGUCUCUAGCAUCCAGAACAAAGCCUGGCAAAGUGCUGGCUGCCCAUAAUUUUUUGUUGAAUGUGAGGUUUAAGUGGCUCCUCGAGCAAGAUUUGUACAUGGGAGAAGCUGAGACUAUGUAGAGCUUCAGCAAUAGCCUUGGUCACAAAUUAAAUCUUCCUUUGGCUUUGAGGGUCAAGAAUGUUUAUAAAAGCUAUUCUUAAACCUGAUCUCUGAUUUCGUUAGACAAAGACACAUGGGUCAGUAGCACUGAUACUCAGAAUUACAGAUGUUUGUACUGAAAUGGAGGCCUUGAUACAAGAUGAGAAUUUGAUGAGAAUGAAGCCUGCGUUAUC
rnacentral:lncRNA from 1 species